AUGCCCCCCCAAGUAGAGCCACCGGCGCCGGCGCCGUCGCCGGCAUCGGCGAAGUAUGAUCCAGCGGCCACCGCCACCACCAUCACUUCCAUCACCGACGACCUCCUCCGCGAGAUCCUCGUCCGCCUCCCCUCCCUCCCGAGCCUCGUCCGCGCCGCCCUCGCCUGCCGCACCUUCCUCCGCGCCGUCCGUUUGCCCGCCUUCCGCCGCCGCUUCCGGGCGCUCCACCCGCCACAACUCCUUGGCUACUUCACCGACCCCUGCCGCACCGCCUUCCCUGCCUUCAUCCCCUUCCGAAGCCGCUCCGACCCCGACCUCGCCGCUGCUGUCCGCGGCUCCGAUUUCUUCUUCACCCGCCUAUCGGAGGACGGUGACGACAGUAGGUGGGCGUUCAACGGCUGCUGCUCCGGCUACGUCUUCCUCCACAACGAGAACACCGACCAGAUCGCUGCUUACAACCCCCUCACGCAGGUGCUGCAUAUCUUCCCCUACCCGCCUCAGGAGGCCUGCGACCCCUACUAUCUUGAUUUCCGCAUCAUCUUCUCGGAAGAGGACCGGAGGUUGUUCCGUGUGGUAUGUGUUCGUCGCCGGAGGCGGCGGCGGAGGACGCUGGCCCGCUUCUCUGUCUUCUCAUCGGACAGCAGGGAGUGGCAGUGUUUCUCGUGGGUGGACACCUCGAUGCCGCAGCCUGGGGAUGAUAAGUCCACUGCUAUGCCGCUGAAUGAAUUUGAUAGAUUAGUUUACUGGAAACACUUUAGUCAACCAUAUAUAAUCGUCCUCGACACUGGGACGCUGCAGUUAUCUCGAAUGGAUUUGCCGCCACCCUUGCAAGAUAUGGGCUCCACGGAAUUUAAGCUUGGCCAGACCAAGGAUGGGAGGCUAUCUUUGGUUUUCAUAGAUCACCUUCUUGCAAGCAAAGGAAUGCUCGCUGUUUGGUUUCGGAGAGCCGAUGGUGACGGCGUUGAGAAAUGGAUGCUGCACAAGAUUUUCGCACUGAGUGAAUUUGUUGAUUUCUCUAUGUGUUCAGAAGAGUAUCAUGAUGUCAUUGUGCAUCCUGCGGAGGUCAUAGGUGAUUUUCUGUACCUGUAUCUUUGUUAUGAUGGGUAUACCAAGUGCUGCUGCCUAUCCUUGUGCCUGGAAACAGACAAGGUUAACAAGUUCUUUGAUCAUAGUGUCCAUCCCUACAUCAUGGCGUGGCCACCUUCUUUGGUAUGCAACAAGGAGGAUUUGGAAACCAAAGUUACUUGA
rnacentral:rRNA from 1 species